UCCUUGGUGGCUCAGUGAUAAAGAAUCUGCCUGCAAUGCAGGAGACCCAGGUUCGAUCCCUGGGUUGGGAA
rnacentral:tRNA from 1 species